rnacentral:misc_RNA from 1 species
UCUCCGUAGGUGAACCUGCGGAGGGAUCAUUACUGAGUGAGGGUCUCCGGGCCCGACCUCCCAACCCUUUGUCUACCUUACCACAACGUUGCUUCGGCAGGCCCGCCGACCCCUAGAGUCCGCUCUGGGGCGAGGCCGCCGGGGGCCCUGCGCCCCGGGCCCGCGCCUGUCGAUGGCCCCUCUUAAACUCAUGUCUAAACGUGUCGUCUGAGUAAUAAUGAUAAUGCAAACCAAAACUUUCAACAACGGAUCUCUUGGUUCUGGCAUCGAUGAAGAAGCAGC